UACCUUACAAUAAUAGAUAAGUUCACAGAUUCCAAGCUAGCAACUGAGAGAAGUCUGAUGUCACCAUUGUCAAAAAAAUAAAACUUUUGUACGAUGUGAGGAAGGACAGCCUCUGACCCCUGAUUGUUUAGCAGCCAAAAUCAAAGAAUGAGCACCAUAGUAUCUGGGUUCGAAGAGCCAGUGUCCCAGGAGAACUGGCAUUUGCAUGGCCUAGCCUGAGAAGUCACAGAGUGUCACUACCUCCAUUUUCUGCAUGUUGACACAGUUGCAAAGGUCUAUCCAGCCAAAGAAGGCUGAGUGCCAAAGAAUUGACACUUUCAAACUGUGGUGCUGGAGAAGACUCCCGAGAGCCCCUUGGACCGCAGGGAGAUCAAACCAGUCAAUCCUGAAGGAAAUCAACCCUGAAUAUUCAGUGAAAGGACUAAUGCUGAAGCUGAAGCUCCAAUACUUCGGCCGCCUGAUGCAAAGUGCUGACUCACUGGAAGAGAUCCUG
ensembl:lncRNA